rnacentral:lncRNA from 1 species
GCCACCUGAACUCAAAUGGAACGUUAUUUCCAGGAAACCACGUAGAAGGGUUCAAAAAUGCUUCUCUUCUGCCUGUUGAUGUCCGAGGAUUGUUUUCAUAACCCUGGCGUCUAGUACGUGCACAAGGGCCCAGCAGAAGUUUGAGGGAGAGAGAGAAAGAAGG